ACAAACCUCCGCCUCUUUGAUGCCAUGUCCGUCGCCCGCAUCAUCAACUUCCGCAGGGGCGCCGCCCACACUAAUUCCCACCACCAGAAACACGCAAUGAUGCCCGUCGUCUCCGACUCCCUCCCGAACCUGCCCAUCUCCACGGCCGCCUACGUCGCCGCCGGCCAAGCUACUCACUCCGACGAGGCCUAGCACGCCUCCAACUGGCCCGACCAGCGCAACCCGGUAGAGCAAGAAGGCCACGUCCUCGUCGUACCACUGUCAGUACAGCAAGAGAAUGGGCGUCGUGGCAUGUGGCACCGCAGAGCUCGGGAGUACAAGGUCGACGGCGGUGCCGCGGUGGACCGGAUGGAGCCCCACACAUGCAUCACCCGCACGCGGUCCCAUACAUCCAACCAUGCAUCCAUACGGCCAUACCAGAUCAUCUACAUGGAGAUGGACUCUGUUUGGAUUGCCAUCGAGUCAAGCCGUUGUUGCCUGCGGACACCGUGACGCAGGCAGACGGAAUCUACCAUGGACGCAGCCACUCUCACUAGAGGCACCUGGAGAGACCAUGCCGUUCUAGAUCACGGUAACGGUUUUGAAGAAUGCAAAUGCUUAUAAUUUAUCCUCCAGUAUGGUACGUUUGGAAGUGCCAUUGGUUUCAUAUACACAUGCUUGGUCCAAUGAUUCAGAUUUUAAUUUUAGAUGCUUCAGAAGAUAUAUAAGCUAACCUGAAUGUGAACACUGUUCAACACAAUAUAAUGAGAUUGAUUGGUUCAGUAAUUGGAUUAUUGUUGAUUGUAAGAGUUCUCUUUUAUAUCGUACAAACCCUCCGUUAAGCAUUCAUGUUGAUCCUGACGCCCCUCCUGGGAGAAAAGCACCAGGCAUUGGCAACAGGCAUAUAGCUUCCCUUGAUCAGUGUCUUAAAAACAAAAAUAAUCUGAAAACAACUUCUGAACCUUAAAUAACCGAAAAAUUCUGGCCCAUAUCUCUAUGCCGGGAACCCUCUGCGUUGAGGAAACAGGCCACAAAAGAUAGAGAUAUAGUUUCAACGCUGGAAUAUUUCUGAUGAUUUACCAGGUAAUUUUAUUUAUUAAUGACUGUACUUCUAAGGCAAUUGUGAUUUCUUUCUGCGUUGUGUCUAUGCUGCUUGGGUGACAUUGAUAGUGUCUUCAUCACGUUUUACACUUUUACUACAGAACAUUGUAUCAGUGACCAUAGUUUCUACACUGUCCCUCUCUGGUGUUAUCCCAACUAAACCACUAACAUGGAAUUUAGUCAAAGUUUGGUUGCCUGUGAACAUCAUAUUUGUCGGAAUGCUAAUCACAAGCAUCUUUAGGUAUGUGUCAGAUCUACAUAUCAUUUUGACCUGAGCACUACUUUAUGUUCAGUAUAGUUGGUCUGUACUUACAAUUUGGUAUAUCAGAAUAUGGAAUUGUUUACUCAGUUUAAAAACUUAAUUAUUUUAUCGUUAUAUACUCCUUCACUUGAUAAAAUAUGGAAAACACACUUUAUUUUUUUCUUCCCACUAUAAGAGGUCAGAACUAUGCGCAAAGGACACUACCUUAAUCAGAUCAAUGCUUUUGUUUUGACAGCUUAAAGUUCAUUGAGGGAGAAAAUGUUUGUUCUACCGAUGUUUAGUUGUUAAUAAAAUUUCUGAUGAAUAUUUGUUGCAGUUCAUUUGCUCUGUCUCUAUUCAUGGUCAAUUAGUUUGAUAGGUUAAUGAUAAACCUGAAUCAGUUUUUAGGCUUUCAGAACAUUUUGAGUUGAAUUUUCCUACAUGAGCUGUGAAGAAAUCGCUCCUCGACUUUAAGAACGAAGUAUUGGAUUGAAUAUUGUAGUCUUUCUUAAACUCUAUCUGCUGCACUUUCUGAUAUUCUCUGUAUCCUUCAGUUUGAAGUAUAUCCAUGUUGCGAUGGGCGCAAUAUUGAAGAAUGUCGCAAAUGUUCAUGCUACUUUUGGGGCAACCUACUUCUUUAAGAAGCAGCGUGAUAGACAAGUAUGGAUUUCUCUAAUGUUGAUGCUAUGUAAAAUUUAUAAUUUACUAAUUUUAAGUAGGACUAAAAUGCUUGAGGGCCUUUUUUCAGUUUCUGAAUAAUCGCACGUAGUUGAUUUGUGGCCGACAUCAAUUCAAUAGAAGAAGACGGGGAUGAAGGACGACAGGAGGCGAAGAUUUACGUCUGUCACAUAUGAGACACCUAGCCGCCCCUCCGCCGGAUGAUAUAAUGCUUAUUUUAACGUUGCAAAAGUGAUGGUCUAGGAGAUGCAGUUAAGCAGUAUAAUUGGCACCCUCAAUACUUAACACACUAACAACUUCAGUUGCGUUUUGACUCUAAAGCCCGAAUAUGCAAAUUUGACUACUUAAAUGUUCUUGCAUUCAAUCCCUGCUCAUGGGUAUUAUUCCUUGGGUCUUCUUUCUCUGUUUAUUAUAUUCAGAGCCAAAUUUUAUUUCUGGAUGGCUAUAUGGACUUGCAGGUGUGAAGUGCCAUAAGAUGUCCAAAUAUAUUUUUUUGGGUCCAUGCUUAUAUUUAGGCUUGCCCUGGUUUAUGCACAAUUUUGACACAGAUAGUAUUGACACCUGGUUUUCAGGUUGGAAAAAUAUUUAUGGUGAGAAAUUUUGACUUCUUGUGGUGUUCAUGUCUCCCUAGGGCCCUGAUCACUGAUUUGCUACAAAAGAGACAAGAGAGCAUAGAGGUGCCUAAGAUUCUUGGUUUGUGCAUUUAACUGUUUUAUAAUGUGACAGUAUAUUCUGUUUAUAAUGUGCCAGUAUAUUCUGUCCACAUACAGUUAAAUAUGGGCACAUGUUCGCAGCGGGGGGUGUUAAACUAUUAUAGGAACAUGAGAAAUUAGGAGUCCUUGUGAUGAAAAAUAUAUGCCAAUUUCUGAACUUGAACAAAGGGCAUGGGAAGUAAAGUAUGCCAGAAGCUUCGUUCUUAGAGGAGAGAGGUGCCAUCAAGCACGAUGUUGAUCAGAUUGCCUGGAAGACAUAUGAUCGGAAGUACCUUCAUUCAUUUGUAAAUACUUUUUGUAACUCACACGAGCACCAAUAGAAGAUAGAUAACAAAUGGAACCUUUUGAUUAGUUCACUUAUUUCAGUUUUUGUGUUACAGUAGGCAUUGCAUUUGGAUAUGAUUUAACUGAUUAUAAUAUUAUACGAGAAGAAGGGAAUACACAGGAUCAAUUUAUUUCAUGAGUAGGAUAGUAAUGAUCAAUCUCUCAGAAAUAGAAAAGUAAUGAUCAAGACCUUGGCAUACAUUUUUCUUCCAGCAAUUUGCUAGCUAUUAAUGUUGGCAACUAGCUGUCAUCACGUGAUGUUUCUUUUCCAUGUUGGUAAAACUUAACAUAGCUUAUUGUUUACAUGAUGGUCCAUUAUAACUAUUGUAAACUAAAUUUGUUCAACAAGGAGAUGUCCGCAUAACUUCAUAAUUGUUAUUAGAUGACUAUAUAUUGUGAAAUAACUUGUCAUAUGUCUGCUUUUUUUCAUCACACCUAUUCAACAAUGAACCUUGUGUCAACUUCUCAUCUUUCAAGUACUGUUCUGACAAACUUGUACAUUUUCAGGUAGAUCACUGUCAGUGAGUAAACAUUAUUUGAAUUAUUAAAGGCUGGUAUUAUGUGCUUUUAUAUUGGGAAUCUGAAAUGAAUAGUUCCGACAUAUUUUCUUCAAGAGAUUUUUCUAACUUAUUUUGCUAAUCAGUUUUGUAGCACUCAAUAUGUUUAGGCAGUAGACUUAUUGAUUGAGAGAAGGACUCAAAGGAUUCACCAACAAUUUGUUGUACCAGGAGGUUUGCUUGUUUGGAUAGAAAUAGUAGCAAGGUGUGUAUCUGAUGUAGACAUGUAAAGGAGCCAAACAUGAUCUGAAUUAUGUUCCUGAUAAAACAUGGGGUUGGUAGGAAAUCAUUAUUUU